GCUUAUGACCAUACCACCCUGAAAGCGCCCGAUUUUGUCUGAUCUCGGAAGCUAAGCAGGGACGGGCCUGGUUAGUACCUGGAUGGGAGACCGCCUGGGAAUACCAGGUGUUGUAGGCU
rfam:Xenopus tropicalis strain Nigerian scaffold_1360_contig_5, whole genome shotgun sequence.